UCCCUGUCCCGCGUGGCUGGCUGCUCUGAGUUCGCGCACUAGCGUUUCCAGCGCUCGGUGCUGGUGGCUCCUAAGGACUCCACCUGAUCAGACAGUAUUUUUGUGCUUCUAUCUCACGAAUUUGGCAAUUCUUAAUGAGUGAAUCAUGGCAAUACAUCUCUUAGUAUGAAUUCAAUAAGAGCAGUUUCCAAUUAUAAUCUUAUCAACCAAGACUUUGACUGGAAUGCCAUGUCUGAGAGAGACAUGCCUGGACUUGAUGUUAGCAGAAAGCCUUAAGGAAGGAAAAUGACUGUGAAGCCAAUAAGAGCCCUUUGGAGAAAAGCCUGGUACCUCACUUGGUGACAUAGUUCAAGGCAGUCUUUCCAGCUCGAAGUCCAGAUAAGCAAUAAAACCAGCCACAGCUGAUGUCAGGACCGGCUGCAUUGAGUAAUGAUGCCCUGCCCUGGUGCCAGCCAAUCAAUCAUUGGAGACUACAACCCUGAAAGGACACACUUGGAAAACUGCUGAGUAUUCUAUUAAGAUCUUUCCCUGGGACCUCCCCUAAAUUCUCA